rnacentral:rRNA from 1 species
AGUGAACGCUGGCGGUAGGCCUAACACAUGCAAGUUGAACGGCAGCACAGUAAGAGCUUGCUCUUACGGGUGGCGAGUGGCGGACGGGUGAGGAAUACAUCGGAAUCUACUUUUUCGUGGGGGAUAACGUAGGGAAACUUACGCUAAUACCGCAUACGACCUACGGGUGAAAGCAGGGGAUCUUCGGACCUUGCGCGAUUGAAUGAGCCGAUGUCGGAUUAGCUAGUUGGCGGGGUAAAGGCCCACCAAGGCGACGAUCCGUAGCUGGUCUGAGAGGAUGAUCAGCCACACUGGAACUGAGACACGGUCCAGACGCCUACGGGAGGCAGCAGUGGGGAAUAUUGGACAAUGGGCGCAAGCCUGAUCCAGCCAUACCGCGUGGGUGAAGAAGGCCUUCGGGUUGUAAAGCCCUUUUGUUGGGAAAGAAAAGCAGCAGGUUAAUACCCCGCUGUUCUGACGGUACCCAAAGAAUAAGCACCGGCUAACUUCGUG